CUGAAUUGCAUGUGCUCAUCCCUGCUGAUUCCUUUUUCCUCUAGAUUUGUUAUUUCUCCUUUUGUGCCUUGUGAAAUUUCCUUUACACUAUUUCCAAAUGAAUCAGAAGACUUCCAUUAAUCAUUAAAUAUUCCCUUGACAGUAUAGGAAAGCAAUCCAGGCCACCUUUAGAAACACAGAGGGGGGACCUCCUGACCACCACAUGGCAGAGGCCAAGGCUGUGUGUGACCACGUGGCCAUCAUGGUGUCGGGACACCUGAGAUGUGUUGGCUUCAUCCAACAACUGAAAAGCAAAUUUGGAAAAGAUGAUCUGCUGGAGAUAAAGGUGAAGACCCCAGCACACGCGGAGGCCUUCCACGCAGAGAUCCUGAGGCUCUUCCCCCCAGGCUGCUCGGCAGGAAAGGGAAGGCUUGUUCCACUUUUAGAUCUGGUUUUCCUGGAGCUCUCCAACUAG
rnacentral:lncRNA from 1 species